AUUGAACGCUGGCGGCAGGCCUAACACAUGCAAGUCGAACGAGUGGCGGACGGGUGAGUAAUGUUUGGGAAUCUGCCUGAUGGAGGGGGAUAACUACAGGAAACGGUAGCUAAUACCUCAUACCAUCGGAUGUGCCCUGAUGGGAUUAGCUAGUUGGUGGGGUAAAGGCUCACCAAGGCGACGAUCCCUAGCUGGUCUGAGAGGAUGACCAGCCACACUGGAACUGAGACACGGCCCAGACUCCUACGGGAGGCAGCAGUGGGGAAUCUGGGACAAUGGGCGAAAGACUGAUGUAGCCAUGCCGCGUGUGUGAAGAAGGCUUUCGGGGUGUAAAGUACUGUCAGCGGGGAAGCGUUACCCGAAGAAGAAGCACCGGCUAACUACGUGCCAGCAGCCGCGGUAAUUC
rnacentral:rRNA from 1 species